rnacentral:rRNA from 1 species
GUGAACGCUGGCGGUAGGCCUAACACAUGCAAGUCGAACGGCAGCACAGUAAGAACUUGCUCUUACGGGUGGCGAGUGGCGGACGGGUGAGGAAUACAUCGGAAUCUACUUUUUCGUGGGGGAUAACGUAGGGAAACUUACGCUAAUACCGCAUACGACCUACGGGUGAAAGCAGGGGAUCUUCGGACCUUGCGCGAUUGAAUGAGCCGAUGUCGGAUUAGCUAGUUGGCGGGGUAAAGGCCCACCAAGGCGACGAUCCGUAGCUGGUCUGAGAGGAUGAUCAGCCACACUGGAACUGAGACACGGUCCAGACUCCUACGGGAGGCAGCAGUGGGGAAUAUUGGACAAUGGGCGCAAGCCUGAUCCAGCCAUACCGCGUGGGUGAAGAAGGCCUUCGGGUUGUAAAGCCCUUUUGUUGGGAAAGAAAAGCAGCAGGUUAAUACCCCGCUGUUCUGACGGUACCCAAAGAAUAAGCACCGGCUAACUUCGUG